rnacentral:tRNA from 1 species
GUCUGGGUGGCUCAGUCAGUUGAGCGCCUGACUUCAGCUCAGGUCAUGAUCUCACAGUUUGUGAGUUCGAGCCCCAUGUCAGGCU